rnacentral:rRNA from 1 species
UACAGAGGGUGCGAGCGUUGUCCGGAAUCACUGGGCGUAAAGGGCGCGUAGGCGGCCUGAUAAGUAGGGGGUGAAAUCUUGCGGCUCAACCGCAAGGCUGCCUUCUAAACUGUCAGGCUGGAGCACGGUAGAGGCAGAUGGAAUUCCCGGUGUAGCGGUGGAAUGCGUAGAGAUCGGGAAGAACACCGGUGGCGAAGGCGGAUCUCUGGGCCAUUACUGACGCUGAGGAGCGAAAGCGUGGGGAGCAAACAGG